UACGGGGGGGGCAAGCGUUGUUCGGAAUUACUGGGCGUAAAGGGCUCGUAGGUGGCCAACUAAGUCAAUCGUGAAAUCCCUCGGCUUAACCGGGGAACUGCGCUUGAUACUGGAUGGCUUGAGUUUGGGAGAGGGAUGCGGAAUUCCAGGUGUAGCGGUGAAAUGCGUAGAUAUCUGGAGGAACACCGGUGGCGAAGGCGGCAUCCUGGACCGACACUGACGCUGAGGAGCGAAAGCCAGGGGAGCAAACGGG
rnacentral:rRNA from 1 species